GAGGGAAAGAGAUGGAGACGGCUGGAGGAUGUAGUGGGAAUAUACACCUGUAACAGGUUCCACCCUCAGCAGCAGGAACAAGUCUUGAUUCUGAAGACGGACAAAGGAAAUACUGCAUCAGAAAUCGGAUUUAUUGUGGGACAGAAAAACAUGGAGAACUGGUGCAAAGCAUCCACAGCAAAUGAAGCACAUUUCGCCCUGCUGGCCAAAGUAAGAAACAAAAUCAUUGAUAUAUCAGAGGCUGGAAUGGAAUACAAAGCCAUUUCUAAGGAUUUUAAUGACUCCCAGUGAGAACAGUGGCAAACCUCUCUGAAAUGGCUGGGGAACAAAAAUGACUCCAAAAUGUAUUGACAAGGCGAUGAAGUCACAAAAGAACCUGGAGCAAAGUCUUGAGCAUGAAGCUAAGCUCAAAUAAUCAUGAUUCAAAAAAAUGAAAGAAACUCAGCAACAAUUGCCUCCAUGGGAAAGUUCCCACCACCAAAAUCAUGCUGACGAAAAGGAACACAAUGAAUAAAUACGAAACAGAACCAAGAUGACUGCAGGU